rnacentral:rRNA from 1 species
AGCACCACAACGGGUGGAGCUUGCGGUUUAAUUGGAUUCAACGCCGGAAAUCUUACCGGGACCGACAGCAAUAUGAAGGCCAGGCUGAAGACUUUGCCGGAUUAGCUGAGAGGUGGUGCAUGGCCGUCGUCAGUUCGUACUGUGAAGCAUCCUGUUAAGUCAGGCAACGAGCGAGACCCACGCCCACAGUUGCCAGCGUACUCUCUGGAGUGACGGGUACACUGUGGGGACCGCGCUGCUAAAGCGAGGAAGGAAUGGGCAACGGUAGGUCAGCAUGCCCCGAAUUAUCUGGGCUACACGCGGGCUACAAUGGGUGGGACAAUGGGUAUCGACACCGAAAGGUGAAGGCAAUCUCCUAAACCCAUCCGUAGUUCGGAUUGUGGGCUGCAACUCGCCCACAUGAAGCUGGAAUCUGUAGUAAUCGUGUCUCAAAAUGGCACGGUGAAUAUGUCCCUGCUCCUU